UACGUAGGGGGCGAGCGUUGUCCGGAGUUACUGGGCGUAAAGGGCAUGCAGGCGGUCGGACGCGUUUUGUGUGACAGCGGGUGGCUCAACUACCCGAGCAUGCGAAAGACGGUCGGACUUGAGGACUCGAGAGGGACACGGAAUUCCGGGUGGAGUGGUGAAAUGCGUAGAGAUCCGGAGGAACACCGAAGGCGAAGGCAGUGUCCUGGCGAGUGACUGACGCUGAGGUGCGAAAGCCAGGGCAGCGAACGGG
rnacentral:rRNA from 1 species